GAUGAACGCUAGCUACAGGCUUAACACAUGCAAGUCGAGGGGCAGCAUGAUUGAAGCUUGCUUCAAUCGAUGGCGACCGGCGCACGGGUGAGUAACACGUAUCCAACCUGCCGAUAACUCGGGGAUAGCCUUUCGAAAGAAAGAUUAAUACCCGAUAGUAUAGUAUUUCCGCAUGGUUUCACUAUUAAAGAACUUCGGUUAUCGAUGGGGAUGCGUUCCAUUAGAUAGUUGGCGGGGUAACGGCCCACCAAGUCAACGAUGGAUAGGGGUUCUGAGAGGAAGGUCCCCCACGUUGGAACUGAGACACGGUCCAAACUCCUACGGGAGGCAGCAGUGAGGAAUAUUGGUCAAUGGACGAGAGUCUGAACCAGCCAAGUAGCGUGAAGGAUGACUGCCCUAUGGGUUGUAAACUUCUUUUAUACGGGAAUAAAGUGGAGUAUGCAUACUCCUUUGUAUGUACCGUAUGAAUAAGGAGCGGCUAACUCCGUG
rnacentral:rRNA from 1 species